UGAAACCCAGCCCGUACGCAGUUGCAGUGACCUAACCCCCUUCCCUGACCCCCAAGCGCGGCGGCGGCGGCCAGAUCCCUCAACCAAGUUAGCCAAGUACGCGGGGCGGAGGUGAUGUUCCACCUUUCCGAUGGCUCUUGCCAGUUGUGUCGCCGGCGGCUCUGUUUGAGGCCGAGCAGAUCUGAUCUCGUGGAGUAUUAAGAUCCGCGUCGCAGUAUGCUCAUCGUUGCCUCCCGAUCUCAGGCUCCGGCAGCGGCUGGUUAGUCGUUUCCUGUCAAUCUCAGUACCUAGGAUCAUCUCGCAUCCUCCUCCACCUCAUCGGCUGCAAGCCGGAGGUGGGCUCCUCGGCUCCUUCCCAACCGGCCUGUGUGACGUGGUGCAAACAUACAAGGCGUCACCACGGUGAUUAAUUCUUCUGGUAAACAAACAAAUUGAGAUGGGAGUAUUAGCUAGUACAUUUGUCCUUCAUGGUUCCAUCUCAAUUUUAUUAGCUAGUUGAUUUAUGCUGUAUCUCUACAUUAUUUUCUUGUACUUGUUCAUGUCAUACUUGCUUACAUGUGAAUGAUGCAUUUUGGUAACUUUGGCCAAUCAGGUCCAGUAACCUGGUGAAUGAUGUAGCACAGUCCAAUUUGGCAUUGUAUUGGUUACAAAAAAGAAUUACAUUGUAUAGCAUCUGGCGGCCUUGGCUUUUGCUGGAGUGUGGAUUUUUAACACCAACCGGAGCUCGUUCAGAUGUGUAUCUGAGCUCUGGGGAAUUUAGUUGACACGUUCGGUCUUAUAUGCAUAGUUUUUUUGUUCGUUUUUGAAAUAACCAGUCACCCAUUUCGGAGUUACUUAUUAUGUUCAAGGUGGGUGAAAACCUAAAAGAGUGAAGUGGUUUUAUCCACAACAAAACUCUAUUCUGCUCAAGAUCACAUCAGUUGUGAAGUUCACCAGUUAGUAUUUGACAUCAAGGUUUUUGCAAAGUUAUUGUAUAUAUAUUUAAUGGUAUAGAUCAAAUUUACACUAAUAGCUCAGUUCUUGAGCUUGCACUCACACACCGGCAUCCAGAAGAUAGCUAGUUACAACCAACACAGCAGAAGAGACUUUUAUAAAGACAGCUAUUUCAUUUCGUAGUCGUAGAGCAGAGACACUUGUAGACCACAGGCUGCAGGAAUCUCGUCCAUCGGCACAUUGCUUGGUCUAGGAUCCAUCGCUCGGCCGCGAAUGCAUCUAGACGACCUUGUGGCGACUGGCCAUGGAGGCGGCAGGCGCACGCACUGCCACCGGCGAGAGAUCUUGCAAUUUGAUUGAAGUCUCUGCUAUCACUAAAGCAAGACAACAAGCUCGACGAACAAGAAGCACUGCAUCUGGAGGCAACUGUUGUGUGCCGUCAAGAUAGCAACGUUCAUGCAGUUCUUAAUGGCAAUGCUUGUUGAGCGAUGAUUAUUAUAGUCCUUCAGACUUACCCUUGCCCGUCAUGUACCAAAGUUGAUGCAGUUUUCGCUAGCAAUACUUGAUCCUGUGAUAUGAGUGUCUUCUGUGUUAUGCCUGGGAUGUUACAGUUUGACAUGUACUAAAAAAUGCGGCGCUGAUAGUCCAGUUUGACAUGCACUCAAGUAUUUGUUUCUGGAAUGGUUCAUUUUAACAUUUA